rnacentral:lncRNA from 1 species
AUCUGCCCUUGGAGUAUAGGCUACCAAAUAAAGUCCACAAAAUGAGGCUGGGGACUUGAAAAAAGGAAGGAGAAAAAAGGGGGGGGGAAAAAAAAAAAAGGGGGGAGAAACAUAAAUAGAGAGAGAGAGAGGGGANGAAGGCCUGGGUUCAAAUCGGACCUCAGAUACUUCCCAGCUGUGUGACUCUGAUGGACAAAAAACAGCUGUUUUAAUUCUCAGCAACAGGACUCUAAACUCCUGGCUGGAAGAGCUGUUUCUAAAUAUCCUUUCCCUUAAGGAACAACUUCCUGGAUUAGAAAAAAAAAACAACCUCAGGGCAAAGCCACAAAAUUUCCACAACUCUAAAUGAACAUCCUAGUGUAAACAACAUGAAAAAUGGGUUCUGAUCAAGGACACAUGUAAUACCCAAUGAAAGUGUGUGUUGGUUGUGGGAAGAGUGGGAGGAGGGGAGAGAGAGAAAUAAUGUCAUUAUUAUAACCAAGGAAUAAUGUUCUAAAUUGACUAAACUCCUUCAAAUGAAAAAAUAAGGAAACUGAGUCUGCAAGAGUUUAAUAAGGAAGAGAAGCAGAGGCAUAGGUGAGAGAAUAGCAAUAAAGCAGGGAUGAGGGGAGCCCUCGUGACAAAGAGGACACUGGAUUCUCUCUGUGGUCAAGGAGAUGGCAGUGAGAGGGGUAAAUUCACUCAGUUACCCAACUUCCUCUUAGGAGAGUCAAAGGUGAUAAGCCUCACCUGGCUGAGAGUGAGGUUUGUUUGGGCCCCAUUGUCAUAGCAACAAGGGAAUGUUUGUUAACAGAGCCAGUGACUUCACAGAAGCUGGUCUUAAUUCCACAUUUCUGAAGCUCAGGGAAGAGCAGAGCCAGCCAGGAGAGAAUGUGGAGGCAGAGGAAGACAAUAGUUCCCUUGGAAGAGCUGUGACUACUAGAAAAGUACUGUCCCGGUAUAUAAGACCCCCAAGUUUGGUUACUCUUUGGAAAAUCGCUGAGGUGGGGUUCCAAGAGACACUGUUUCCAGAGCUUUGACACUUGGUGGUAUGAAGUGCUUGAUUCUGUGUGGUGGAGAAAUCUUGAGCACUCUCUUGUCCUGAUUAAAGACUUGGCCUUCCUAACUACUUUGGUGAUGUGUGUUUUCCAAAGUUGACACCUGGAACCAAACCUCCAUCUCAUUUCCUAGUCUGCAGCUUGACACUCAGGUGCCCCCAGAGUUCUGUUCUCUUCUCUGCUCACUAAGGGCAUGGGUUGUUUUCUCUUAUUGGAUGUUUAAAGUCUACGCUUAGCAAGUCCCUGUUACAUAGUAAGUACCCAAUAAAUAUCACAACUCUGUCUAUCUCUCUGUCUGU